rnacentral:rRNA from 1 species
CCUACGGGAGGCAGCAGUGGGGAAUCUUGCGCAAUGGGCGAAAGCCUGACGCAGCAACGCCGCGUGCGGGAAGAAGGCUUUCGGGCUGUAAACCGCUUUCAGCAGGAACGAAAAUGACGGUACCUGCAGAAGAAGGAGCGGCCAACUAUGUGCCAGCAGCCGCGGUGAUACAUAGGCUUCAAGCGUUGUCCGGAUUUAUUGGGCGUAAAGAGUUCGUAGGCGGUCGAGUAAGUCGGGUGUGAAAAUUCUGGGCUCAACCCAGAGACGCCACCCGAUACUGCUUAACUUGAGUUCGAUAGGGGAGUGGGGAAUUCCUAGUGUAGCGGUGAAAUGCGCAGAUAUUAGGAGGAACACCGGUGGCGAAGGCGCCACUCUGGAUCGAUACUGACGCUGAGGAACGAAAGCAUGGGUAGCAAACAGGAUUAGAUACCCUGGUAGUCCAUGCCGUAAACGGUGGGCACUAGGUGUGGGAUUCUAUUAACGAAUUCCGCGCCGUCGCUAACGCAUUAAGUGCCCCGCCUGGGGAGUACGGUCGCAAGACUAAAACUCAAAGGAAUUGACGG